CCUACGGGGGGCAGCAGUGGGGGAUUUUGCACAAUGGGGGGAACCCUGAUGCAGCGACGCCGCGUGGGUGAAGGAGUGCUUCGGCAUGUAAAGCCCUAUCGGCAGGGAAGAAGCAAGACGGUACCUGACUAAGAAGCCCCGGCUAACUACGUGCCAGCAGCCGCGGUAAUACGUAGGGGGCGAGCGUUAUCCGGAUUCACUGGGUGUAAAGGGAGCGUAGACGGCCAUGCAAGCCAGGGGUGAAAGCCCGGGGCCCAACCCCGGGACUGCCCUUGAAACUGUGCGGCUAGAGUGCGGGAGGGGCAGGCGGAAUUCCUGGUGUAGCGGUGAAAUGCGUAGAUAUCAGGAGGAACACCGGCGGCGAAGGCGGCCUGCUGGACCGCGACUGACGUUGAGGCUCGAAGGCGUGGGGAGCGAACAGGAUUAGAUACCCUUGUAGUC
rnacentral:rRNA from 1 species